rnacentral:rRNA from 1 species
GAACGAAGGUUAGCGGCAUGCCUAACACAUGCAAGUCGAACGCGUGGCUUCGGCCACGAGUGGCGCACGGGUGAGUAACGCGUGGGAACCUGCCCGGCAGUACGGGACAACCGCGGGAAACUGCGGCUGAUACCGUAUACGGCCUGAGGGCGAAAGAAUUUCGCUGUCGGAGGGGCCCGCGUCGGAUUAGGUAGUUGAUGGGGUAACGGCCUACCAAGCCUGCGAUCCGUAGCUGGUCUGAGAGGAUGAUCAGCCACACUGGGACUGAGACACGGCCCAGACUCCUACGGGAGGCAGCAGUGGGGAAUAUUGGACAAUGGGCGCAAGCCUGAUCCAGCAAUGCCGCGUGAGUGAUGAAGGCCUUAGGGUUGUAAAGCUCUUUCGCCCGCGACGAUGAUGACGGUAGCGGGAGAAGAAGCCCCGGCUAACUCCGUGCCAGCAGCCGCGGUAAUUCGGGUGAGGCAAGCGUUGUUCGGAAUCACUGGGCUUAAAGCGCGUGUAGGCGGUUCGGUAAGUACCUUGUGAAAUCCCUUUUCUCAAUGAAGGAAUGGCUGGGUAUACUGCCGGACUGGAGGCAGGUAGGGGUCACUGGAACUCUAGGUGGAGCGGUGAAAUGCGUAGAUAUCUAGAGGAACGCCCGUGGCGAAAGCGGGUGACUGGGCCUGUCCUGACGCUGAGACGCGAAAGCGUGGGUAGCAAACGGGAUUAGAUACCCCGGUAGUCCACGCCGUAAACGAUGCACACUAGGUUUGCCUGGCUCUGACGCCCGGCGUGCCGAAACAAAAGCGUUAAGUGUGCCGCCUGGGGAGUACGGGCGCAAGGCUAAAACUCAAAGGAAUUGACGGGGGCUCACACAAGCGGUGGAGGAUGUGGCUCAAUUCGAAGCAACGCGAAGAACCUUACCUGGGUUUGACAUGCUAGGAUUAGCUUCGUGAAAGCGAAGUGACGCGGCUUGCCGUGGAACUAGCACAGGUGCUGCAUGGCUGUCGUCAGCUCGUGCUGUGAAGUGUCGGGUUAAGUCCCUUAACGAGCGAAACCCUUGUCGCUAGUUGCCAGCGCGUAAUGGCGGGCACUUUAGCGAGACUGCCGGUGUUAAACCGGAGGAAGGUGGGGACGACGUCAAGUCCUCAUGGCCUUUAUGCCCAGGGUUGCACACGUCCUACAAUGGGUUGGUACAGAGCGAUGCAAGACCGCGAGGUGGAGCAAAUCGCAGAAAACUGCCCUUAGUUCGGAUUGCAGGCUGCAACUCGCCUGCAUGAAGCUGGA